rnacentral:rRNA from 1 species
UAAGAGGUCCCGCCUGCCCUGUGACCACAAGUUUAACGGCCGCGGUAUUCUGACCGUGCAAAGGUAGCGCAAUCACUUGUCUUUUAAAUGAAGACCUGUAUGAAUGGCAUAACGAGGGCUUAACUGUCUCCUUUUUCUAGUCAAUGAAAUUGAUCUCCCCGUGCAGAAGCGGGGAUGAAACCAUAAGACGAGAAGACCCUGUGGAGCUUUAGACACCAGAACAGCCCGUGUCAAAUUUGACUCUAUUAAGAGACUGAACUAAUCGGCCCCUGUUCAAAUGUCUUUGGUUGGGGCGACCGCGGGGGAACAAAAAGCCCCCAUGUGGAAUGAGAGAACAUACUCUUAAAACUAAGAGCCACAGCUCUAAUAAACAGAAUUUCUGACCUAAAAGAUCCGGCAACAGCCGAUCAACGAACCGAGUUACCCCAGGGAUAACAGCGCAAUCCUCUUCCAGAGCCCAUAUCGACAAGAGGGUUUACGACCUCGAUGUUGGAUCAGGACAUCCUAAUGGUGCAGCCGCUAUUAAGGGUUCGUUUGUUCAACGAUUAAAGUCC